GAGGGUAUAGCUCAAGGGUAGAGUACGUGCUUAACAUGCACAAGGUCCUGGGUAUAAUCCCCAGUACCUCCA
rfam:Camelus ferus unplaced genomic scaffold scaffold1533, whole genome shotgun sequence.